rnacentral:lncRNA from 1 species
ACCAUGUAUAGGUUUAGGUAUUCCUUUAGAAAAAAAGGUAUUAUCGAGUGUUCACCCAGAUUUAUCUGUAUCGCAGGCACUUCAUUAUUGUAGAAGUCUUUGAAUAUCUUCUGGUCUUGGCGAACCAAAGUGUCCUAAAAGUAAUGCAGAUGUGGCCCUGGUAUUAGAAUUUUCAGACCUCGAAUAUCCUCGAACUACAGCAUUUCUGAAAACAGUAAAUAAGUAAAAUGUGUCCCAAGUAACGUAAUAAUGCUGAAUCUGAAUAAAAUAAUUUCGGAAUAUACCUAAGUUCCUCAACUCUUUGUGGAAGUUCUUUUUGUAGACAAAGUAUCAAAUUGGAAAUAAAUUUUUCAAAAUGAAA